rnacentral:rRNA from 1 species
AGUGAACGCUGGCGGUAGGCCUAACACAUGCAAGUCGAACGGCAGCACAGUAAGAGCUUGCUCUUACGGGUGGCGAGUGGCGGACGGGUGAGGAAUACAUCGGAAUCUACUUUUUCGUGGGGGAUAACGCAGGGAAACUUACGCUAAUACCGCAUACGACCUACGGGUGAAAGCAGGGGAUCUUCGGACCUUGCGCGAUUGAAUGAGCCGAUGUCGGAUUAGCUAGUUGGCGGGGUAAAGGCCCACCAAGGCGACGAUCCGUAGCUGGUCUGAGAGGAUGAUCAGCCACACUGGAACUGAGAAACGGUCCAGACUCCUACGGGAGGCAGCAGUGGGGAAUAUUGGACAAUGGGCGCAAGCCUGAUCCAGCCAUACCGCGUGGGUGAAGAAGGCCUUCGGGUUGUAAAGCCCUUUUGUUGGGAAAGAAAAGCAGCAGGUUAAUACCCCGCUGUUCUGACGGUACCCAAAGAAUAAGCACCGGCUAACUUCGUG